UCAAGUAAACCCCUACACCAA
rnacentral:siRNA from 1 species